rnacentral:lncRNA from 1 species
AGGACCACGGAAUAAUGAGACACACUGCCCUAGAGCAAGGGGCCAGGGCACUGAUGCGAAGUGGCUCAGCUGGAAAGGGUAAAUGGUGAUGACAGCAAGACUGCAUAAAGCAGAAGAUGAGGGGGAAAACCGGCUCAGCCGUGACUUGGGGCAUCCACAGAUCGAACUAUUGAGGAAUCUAGACAGAGGGCAGCACUCAGGAGCCCGGCUGUGGGAGUUGAUCCCAGGAGAGCUCGUGAACUGGAACGAGUCCAAGCCUGCAGCUGGACCCACGACUACAUCAGAUGCUGAGAGCAGAGGAGAAAGCAAAGGAGCUAUUUGGCAGCUAAGGACAUUCUUCUGCAUGCUGCACUGCUGGUGGAAAAUAUGGAAGAGAUGCCCAUGACUGUCAGCUAUGGCCUUAAGACCCCGGAGAUUCAGUUCUCUGAUGAGAAGUCGCUUUGAGUCUGUGAAACGUUACACCAGGCAUCUGCUGAAUUUGAAGGGAGUAGCAAGUGGUGACAGAAUAACCAGUUGUCAGUGAUCUGUAUCAGUUGUGCAAAUGCCAGAAAAAUAAUUUCAAGUUUUACAGAAAACCUACAGACCAAGGAAAGCCAUUAUCAGACACCAGAUAAUAUGAGCUACAUUUUAUGGAUAAUUCUAAUGAUCACUUGGCUGCUGUGAGAAUAUACUGAAGUGAACAAGGGCAGAAGCAGCUGACCAGCCGGGAGGCUAUUGCCAUAAUCCAGGCAGAGAUGAAGCUGGCUUGGAUCA